rnacentral:rRNA from 1 species
AUUGAACGCUGGCGGCAUGCCUUACACAUGCAAGUCGAACGGCAGCAUGAUCUAGCUUGCUAGAUUGAUGGCGAGUGGCGAACGGGUGAGUAAUACAUCGGAACGUGCCCUGUAGUGGGGGAUAACUAGUCGAAAGAUUAGCUAAUACCGCAUACGACCUGAGGGUGAAAGUGGGGGACCGCAAGGCCUCAUGCUAUAGGAGCGGCCGAUGUCUGAUUAGCUAGUUGGUGAGGUAAAGGCUCACCAAGGCGACGAUCAGUAGCUGGUCUGAGAGUACGAUCGGCCACACUGGGACUGAGACACGGCCCAGACUCCUACGGGAGGCAGCAGUGGGGAAUUUUGGACAAUGGGGGCAACCCUGAUCCAGCAAUGCCGCGUGUGUGAAGAAGGCCUUCGGGUUGUAAAGCACUUUUGUCCGGAAAGAAAUCGCACUUACUAAUAUUAGGUGUGGAUGACGGUACCGGAAGAAUAAGGACCGGCUAACUACGUGCCAGCCGCCGCGGUAAGAC